rnacentral:rRNA from 1 species
UGGGGAAUUUUGCACAAUGGGGGAAACCCUGAUGCAGCGACGCCGCGUGAUUUAGAAGGCCUUCGGGUUGUAAAACUCUUUUUUACGGGAUGAAAAUGACAGUACCGUAAGAAUAAGGUCCGGCUAAAUACGUGCCAGCAGCCGCGGAAAUACGUAUGGACCGAGCGUUGUCCGGAAUCAUUGGGCGUAAAGGGUACGUAGGCGGCCUAGUAAGUUAGAAGUGAAAUAAUAUAGCUCAACUAUAUAAAGCUUUUAAAACUGCUAGGCUUGAGAGAUGGAAGGGAAAGUGGAAUUCCUAGUGUAGCGGUGAAAUGCGCAGAUAUUAGGAAGAAUACCGGUGGAGAAGGCGACUUUCUGGUCAUCAUCUGACGCUGAGGUACGAAAGCGUGGGUAGCAAACAGG